rnacentral:rRNA from 1 species
AUGCACGCUGGCGGCGUGCCUAAUACAUGCAAGUCGAGCGAACGGACGAGAAGCUUGCUUCUCUGAUGUUAGCGGCGGACGGGUGAGUAACACGUGGAUAACCUACCUAUAAGACUGGGAUAACUUCGGGAAACCGUAGCUAAUACCGGAUAAUAUUUUGAACCGCAUGGUUCAAAAGUGAAAGACGGUCUUGCUGUCACUUAUAGAUGGAUCCGCGCUGCAUUAGCUAGUUGGUAAGGUAACGGCUUACCAAGGCAACGAUGCAUAGCCGACCUGAGAGGGUGAUCGGCCAAACUGGAACUGAGACACGGUCCAGACUCCUACGGGAGGCAGCAGUAGGGAAUCUUCCGCAAUGGGCGAAAGCCUGACGGAGCAACGCCGCGUGAGUGAUGAAGGUCUUCGGAUCGUAAAACUCUGUUAUUAGGGAAGAACAUAUGUGUAAGUAACUGUGCACAUCUUGACGGUACCUAAUCAGAAAGCCACGGCUAACUACGUG